rnacentral:tRNA from 1 species
GCCCCCGUAGCUCAGCUGGAUAGAGUACCGGCCUCCGGAGCCGGGAGCCCGGGUUCGAAUCCCGGCGGGGGUA